UACGAAGGUGGCAAGCGUUGUUCGGAUUUACUGGGCGUAAAGGGAGCGUAGGUGGUGGGGUAAGCCCCGCGGGAAAGCUCCAGGCUUAACCUGGAAAGGUCGCGGGGGACUGCUCCGCUCGAGGACGGGAGAGGAGCGCGGAAUUCCCGGUGUAGCGGUGAAAUUCGUAGAUAUCGGGAGGAACACCGGUGGCGAAGGCGGCGAUCUGGGUAGAUACUGACGCUGAGGUGCGAAAGCGUGGGGAGCAAACAGG
rnacentral:rRNA from 1 species